UACGAAGGGGGCUAGCGUUGCUCGGAAUGACUGGGCGUAAAGGGCGCGUAGGCGGCUCAUACAGUCAGGCGUGAAAUUCCUGGGCUCAACCUGGGGACUGCGCUUGAGACGUGUGGGCUUGAGUGGGGAAGAGGGUCGUGGAAUUCCCAGUGUAGAGGUGAAAUUCGUAGAUAUUGGGAAGAACACCGGUGGCGAAGGCGGCGACCUGGUCCUUGACUGACGCUGAGGCGCGAAAGCGUGGGUAGCAAACAGG
rnacentral:rRNA from 1 species